rnacentral:rRNA from 1 species
UUAAAUUGAAGAGUUUGAUCAUGGCUCAGAUUGAACGCUGGCGGCAGGCCUAACACAUGCAAGUCGAACGGUAACAGGAAGCAGCUUGCUGCUUCGCUGACGAGUGGCGGACGGGUGAGUAAUGUCUGGGAAACUGCCUGAUGGAGGGGGAUAACUACUGGAAACGGUAGCUAAUACCGCAUAACGUCGCAAGACCAAAGAGGGGGACCUUCGGGCCUCUUGCCA